UACGAAGGGGGCGAGCGUUGUUCGGAUUUACUGGGCGUAAAGGACGCGUAGGCGGCCGAUCAAGUCGAGUGUGAAAGCCCCGGGCUCAACCUGGGAAUUGCGCGCGAAACGGGGGGGCUUGAGUUCGGGAGAGGAGCGUGGAAUUCCCAGUGUAGAGGUGAAAUUCGUAGAUAUUGGGAAGAACACCGGUGGCGAAGGCGGCGCUCUGGGCCGGUACUGACGCUGAGGAGCGAAAGCGUGGGUAGCAAACAGG
rnacentral:rRNA from 1 species